AACGAACGCUGGCGGCAUGCCUAACACAUGCAAGUCGAACGAGACCUUCGGGUCUAGUGGCGCAUGGGUGCGUAACGCGUGGGAACCUGCCCUUAGGUUCGGAAUAACUCCCCGAAAGGGGUGCUAAUACCGGAUAAUGUCUUCGGACCAAAGAUUUAUCGCCUUUGGAUGGGCCCGCGUGGGAUUAGCUAGUUGGUAGGGUAAAAGCAUAUCAAGGCGACGAUCCAUAGCUGGUCUGAGAGGAUGAUCAGCCACACUGGGACUGGGACACGGCCCAGACUCCUACGGGAGGCAGCAGUGGGGAAUAUAGGACAAUGGGCGAAAGCCUGAUCCAUCAAUGCCGCGUGAGUGAUGAAGGCAUUAGGGUUGUAAAGCUCUUUUAACCGGGAUGAUAAUGACAGUACCGGGAGAAUAAGCGCCGGCUAACUCCGUG
rnacentral:rRNA from 1 species